GCGUAAAGGGUCUGUAGGUGGUUUGUUAAGUCAGAUGUGAAAGCCCAGGGCUCAACCUUGGAACUGCAUUUGAUACUGGCAAACUAGAGUAUGGUAGAGGAAUGGGGAAUUUCUGGUGUAGCGGUGAAAUGCGUAGAGAUCAGAAGGAACACCAAUGGCGAAGGCAACAUUCUGGACCAAUACUGACACUGAGGGACGAAAGCGUGGGGAUCAAACAGGAUUAGAUACCCUGGUAGUCCACGCUGUAAACGAUGAGUACUAGCUGUUGGAUUCGGUGUAAAGGAUCUAGUGGCGUAGCUAACGCGUUAAGUACUCCGCCUGGGGACUACGGCCGCAAGGCUAAAACUCAAAGGAAUUGACGGGGACCCGCACAAGCGGUGGAGCAUGUGGUUUAAUUCGAUGCAACGCGAAGAACCUUACCUGGUCUUGACAUCCUGCGAACUUUCUAGAGAUAGAUUGGUGCCUUCGGGAACGCAGUGACAGGUGCUGCACGGCUGUCGUCAGCUCGUGUUGUGAAAUGUUGGGUUAAGUCCCGCAACGAGCGCAACCCCUAUUGAUAGUUACCAUCAUUAAGUUGGGUACUCUAUUGAGACUGCCGCUGACAAGGCGGAGGAAGGUGGGGACGACGUCAAGUCAUCAUGGCCCUUACGACCAGGGCUACACACGUGCUACAAUGGGUAUUACAGAGGGCAGCGAAGUAGCGAUAUGGAGCGAAACUCAGAAAGGUACUCUUAGUCCGGAUUGCAGUCUGCAACUCGACUGCAUGAAGUCGGAAUCGCUAGUAAUCGCAGGUCAGAAUACUGCGGUGAAUACGUUCCCGGGUCUUGUACACACCGCCCGUCACACCAUGGGAGUGGGUUGCUCCAGAAGUAGAUGGCUUAA
rnacentral:rRNA from 1 species